UACGUAGGAGGCAAGCGUUGUCCGGAAUUACUGGGCGUAAAGAGCUUGUAGGCGGUUUGUCGCGUCUGCUGUGAAAUCUCAAGGCUCAACCUUGAGCUUGCAGUGGGUACGGGCAGACUAGAGUGUGGUAGGGGAGAUUGGAAUUCCUGGUGUAGCGGUGAAAUGCGCAGAUAUCAGGAGGAACACCGAUGGCGAAGGCAGGUCUCUGGGCCACUACUGACGCUGAGAAGCGAAAGCAUGGGGAGCGAACAGG
rnacentral:rRNA from 1 species